GCCUGCACCACGCAGAGUAUCAGGUUCAUUCUCAGUGGUCAUCCUCAGUAGACCAUGAAGAUUUGGCUGGUCACAUGAUUCCUUUCAAAUAUUUUUUAAUCACAAAAUCAUCAUUUUUUUAUCCACAGCUGUGGCAAACCCUAAGCUUUUCUUGUUCACCUUUCCUGUCUUCAGCAGUAUCUUAAAGCAGAAGUGCCACAGAUAAUAUAAUUGCAACCAGCACCCUCUGAGAAGUUCCCGUCUCUCUUAUAAUUCAUUAUCUCUCAUUUUGUCACUUCAUAUUAUCAUGUGUCUCCCUCCUGGCCACCCCUGAAAGCUGCUUAGACAGAGUGCUGGAACAAUCUGCUCCUAAGGGCCCCGUGGUACAAACUUGUGUUGGAGCAGUGCUUGAAGAGCAGCUGUCUGUGGGAAGACCGCAGAGCAUCUGUUUGGCAAGGACACUUCCACACUUCCACAAUGGGGCAGGGGAAGAGAGGGACCACGAAGGAGCCGUAGAGAUGAAGAGUUCUGGACUGAUCAGAGUUCCUAUCCCCCAUUUCCCUGUUCUUCUCAGGGGGAAGAUGUAGAAGAGGGUACAUGGGGGAGGGAGGUGAUUUUAAUUUGCUUUUAGUUCUCACCUGGAAAGCAGAACAAAUCUAAUGUAACUGUACAGAAACAUUUAUGUAUAACACCAAGGAAUUGCUACAUAUUUAGAUUAUCCAUUAAUUAACCAUUUAGUCCAUUUUUUUCUUCAUGAGUGUGUUGAAAUUCUACAGUAUAGUGUUAUACAGUGUUCUGCUUCAUUUAAUGAACAUUAAGUUCUCAGUAAAUCAAUGAGAAAAUUUUUCCCCUGUUCAAAAACUGCGAAGAUUAUUCUAUUGUUCAUCCUCUGAACUCAGUCAUUGAAAUAAGGGGGACUGAAGACAAUGUCAGUGAAGAUUCAGUCUGCCCUCUUUCAGUUACAGAAUAUUCUUUGCUUUACAGAACUGUGUGACAAGAUUUAAAAAUACACUCCUGAACAGAAGUUGUGCUAUCCGUCUGCUUAUAUUCCCAAUUGUGCUGUAAUAUAAUGCACUUUAACAAAAUUUGCAGAAAUGUUU
ensembl:lncRNA